UACGAAGGGGGCUAGCGUUGUUCGGAAUUACUGGGCGUAAAGCGUGCGCAGGCGGUUUCUUAAGUCAGAUGUGAAAGCCCCGGGCUUAACCUGGGAACUGCGUUUGAAACUGGGAGACUUGAGUGUGGCAGAGGGGGGUGGAAUUCCACGUGUAGCAGUGAAAUGCGUAGAUAUGUGGAGGAACACCGAUGGCGAAGGCAGCCCCCUGGGUUAACACUGACGCUCAUGCACGAAAGCAUGGGGAGCAAACAGG
rnacentral:rRNA from 1 species